UACGUAGGGUGCAAGCGUUUGUCCGGAAUUAUUGGGCGUAAAGAGCUCGUAGGCGGUUUGUCGCGUCUGGUGUGAAAAUCCAGGGCUUAACCCUGGACCUGCAUCGGGUACGGGCAGACUAGAGUGCGGUAGGGGGAGAUCGGAAUUCCUGGUGUAGCGGUGAAAUGCGCAGAUAUCAGGAGGAACACCGGUGGCGAAGGCGGAUCUCUGGGCCGUAACUGACGCUGAGGAGCGAAAGCAUGGGGAGCGAACAGG
rnacentral:rRNA from 1 species